rnacentral:lncRNA from 1 species
GAAUGUUUCAUUACAUAUGGACAAUUAUAAUGGACAAAAUAAGAAAAGUGUUAUAAUAAGCUAUGGAAUGUGGCUUGUUAUGAUGGGUCUACAUGAUGACUUGGAGUACAACCUGAUUGAGGCCCGACAUACAGAAUUCAGACCUGAACAUGUUUAGAAUGUCUUCUGCAUGACCUGGUAUAGAUAGUAUUCUCAAAGGAUUAUAACUUCAACACAG